AAUUUGAAAAAGGAAUGCGCCCGUUUUUCGCCGUAAAUGUUGCAGCCUAAUUUUGGAUCGAGAAUUAAGUGCGACGAAGAUGGCCGUUAAUAAUAGUUCUACUACUUUAAGAACACGGUUCAGAUUUGGAUAACGACUUCGAAGGCAUUCGCAGGAGACCAAACAGAGAAAGAGAGGGAGACACAAAACCACCUGUCUCGGUGUCACACAUGAGGAGUUGAGGAGGAGAUGAAGUCAGUGAAUAUGACCUGGCCUGGGGGAGUUUCCAGAAGAAGGCCCAGAAUCGCUGGAUGCCAGGAGUGGAGAUCCUUCGUUGCUGCCCUACAUGAUAGGAGGCAUCGGGCAGUAGAUGCUGUAAUUUGAACGGAAGGUGUCCUGCCCAUAAAUUUUCAUCCCACCUGAACUGCCUUGCCUGCCUGCACCCAGUCAUCUGUUCCUGAGCAUUUUCAUUUUCCUCUAUUUUUCAUCAUCGUUUGUUUCGGCCUGUAUGAAGUGAAUUUCACAUUGAUUGGUGGAGCUGCUAAGUUGGCAUUACAGGGCCACGCCGGGGUAUGAUCCUUUGGGUUGAACAUCAUGACUGCUAGUUGGUCGGCAAAGGUGAUGGGAUCGAUCAAUGUCACAUGGAGUAAGAUCGAUACCAAUCUGCUUUGCUACAUUUCGAACAAUCUCAUACGGAUACGGAUAUUAUUGCGACAGGAGUACUGCUCGAUGUGGUCAAGCCUAUUUGACAAAGCAUUAUGGUGUUAGUCAUGUUAUCAGAAACCGAUUUUUCAAAAUCACGGAGUUGCUUCAAUUUAGUAUCGAUAGAUAUUUCAAGAACGUGUAGACUAGUGAGCUUUUCAUCAAGAAUUUCACGCAAUUUAUUUUCGCGCUUAUCCAUGUCAUCAUUGAGUUUUUGUCUCUCGCGUUCCAUUGCCACGGCCACCGCUCUUUGAACGACUGUAUCAAUAUGAUCUAGGUAUGCUGGGCUUUGUUUAGAUCCAGUUAAUGAUGAAGCAGAGGAUUGUGUACAUGCAUUAGCCGAGUGCAAGCGGCCUCUUGAUCUGGUGGAUAUCUUAGACAUGUUAGAGAUUACGUAAUGAUAUAAUUGAAAAGUGGGAUGGGCUGUGCAUCUGCCAACUCACCAUGUCAACCAAUUAGAGACGGCCUUCCAAAGUGACACAGCACGAAAAUAUCAAUAUGGGACUGGUCUAGUCAACACAUAGAUCCUGAAAAAACCAUGGAGACCGCAGACGCAAAAUGACUUCCAUACAUAAAGAUAUGAUGCACAAUUUCCAGUGGGUUCAAAACACUGAACACAUGCUAUGCUGAUACACAGACUAUCAUAUUAAAGAACUUCAUCAAGCAAAGGAAAUCUGGUAUGAAAUCUCUCAGCUCACAUAAAAAGCCUACGUAGCUACAUGUAGGGAAGAAAAUGCGUAAUUGCUGAGAAAUUAGCAAAAUAAGCAUGUAAUUCUUUCAAAUGUCAGGUAUUUUUCGAAUCGAUUAUAAUACACUGUCCCACAUAUGCUUUUCUGUGUUUACAGCGAUCAUCAGAAUUAUCGAUUUUAAGUUUAAAAAUUCAUGAUUUUACAAAGAUACAAGUUUACAUUAAUGUACCAGAUGUAGAUUAUGUACAAUAUAUUGACAAUGAACUUUGAUUUUAUAGAUUUUCUCAAGAAAUAAUUGUUUGCUGCAACUACUGUCUUUUCCUUCUAAGUGAUAGUGUAAUACAACAGUUCCACAAACUAUUUUCAUCAGACUUAUUGAUGCAUGAUUCUUUCACCCAAAUGCAAGCUUCCAUAAAUCCUGAAAACUUUGCAACUCAGGUUUUUUUUUUUUUUACAUACAGUAUAUUUUGUCCUACAUUGCAUAGUUGCCUUAAGUUAAUAGCGCACCUCUAGUAGUAACUAUCUUAAAAUGAGUUCGAACAGAAUCCAACAGAAUUACCAGCAAAGUGUAUGUAUAUAUAAAAGAUGUGUGCCAAAAAGCUUGGGAAGAAAAUGUGUGUAAUUGCUGAGAAAUGAGCAAAAUAAGCAUGUAAUUCUAUCAAAUGUCGGGUAUUUUUCAAAUCAAUCAUAAUACACUGUCCUGUCCCACAUAUGCUUUUCUGUGUUAGUGAUCAUCAGAAUUAUUGAUUUUAAGAUCAAAAUUCAUGAUUUUACAAAGAUACAAGUUUACAUUAAUUUACCAGGGCCCCGUCUUACAAAGAGUUAUGAUUGAUCCGAUCAAUCGCAACUAUGGACGGUCAGCAACGUUAACAUAGAUCUAUUAAGCAUGUUUGUUCAAAAUAUUUUCUAGCUAUGAUGUAUGUUCAUGCAUUCAUUGUUUUCUCAAAAAUUCGCUGCGCUUCUCUUUGCAUACAAAGGACAUUGUGCAAUUUUUUCGUAGAAAAAAUUAUGACACUGAUGGAUUUCCAUAGAGUUAUGAUUGAUCGGAUCAAUCGUAACUCUUUGUAAGACAGGGCCCAGAUCUAGAUUAUGUACAAUAUUUUGACAAUUAACCUUAAUUUAAAAGACUUUCCGAAGAAAUAAUUGUUUGCUGCAACUACUGUCUUUUACCCCUGGCCCUAAGUGAUAGUGUAAUACAACCCAAACAUUUCAUUAGAAUUAAUGUACAUGUAUGAUUCUUUCACCCAAAUGCGAGCUUCCAUAAAUCCUGAAACUAUUCCAACUCGGGUAUUUUUUUUUUACAUACAGUCUAUUUUUACCUACAUUACAUAGUUGUCUAAAGUUGAAGGUAUAUUUAAUUACAAUUUCAACGAAAAAGCUUUAUUCUUGGAGAUCAUUAUGCCUCUGUUAUGUAUUAAUGUGUAUUUAUACAUGUACAAUUGUAUGUAUUGGUAUAACAGACAUUGUAAUUUCAUUCCUUUGACCCUAAUACUGCAUUUUCAUAGAAAAGUGUUUUUUUUUUCAAUCUAUUUAGAGUUUUCAACAUUUUGUAUUCCUUUUUUUUUUGCUGGUAAUAUGUUAUGCAACUUUUAUUUAUUAAUAGAAUAUUUGCCACGAUUUCG